rnacentral:lncRNA from 1 species
AUUAAUGCCUACUUUGUUUUAGGCACUACAUUAGUCACUGGGGUUACAAAAGUAAAACUGAAAAUAAUCUCUGACCUCCAGGAACUGACAUCUGUCUAGCAAACAAACUUCAGUUUCCUCCUGUGUCCUCGAGUAAAACUGGGCAUCCAAUUAUCUGGACUGGCCUAGGGGAUUUAAGUAUUGAUGCGCAGGCCGCUGGACACUCGGACCGUCCUGGUUCACUGCUGGGCCCAGACGAGAGAGAAGAGAGCCGCCAUGGUGGAACCCAAUGGUUUUCUCUACCACUUGUACGAAGUGUUGGACUGCAUUUCUCCUGAGCUUAUGUGGGCAGCCGUCGGGCCGGAGGGCAAGCAGAAGAGGUUUUAUUAUGUUCUGAAGGAGCAAGUGUCCUCCUUCUCCAAAGCCUUGCUGACCCUGGCAGAGGCCUGCUACCCGAUGACUGAGCUGCUGGCCCAGCACGUGUUUGAAGAUCUCAUGGAGAGAUGUGAAGCUCUGCUGGCUCACUGCUGAACCUGGGCUUGGG